rnacentral:rRNA from 1 species
UACGUAGGCAGCGAGCGUUGUUCGGAGUUACUGGGCGUAAAGGGUGUGUAGGCGGUUCUUUAAGUUUGGUGUGAAAUCUCCCGGCUCAACCGGGAGGGUGCGCCGAAAACUGGGGGACUAGAGUGCGGGAUGGGAGAGUAGAAUUCCUGGUGUAGCGGUGAAAUGCGUAGAUAUCAGGAGGAACACCGGUGGCGAAGGCGGAUCUCUGGGCCUUACCUGACGCUCAGGUGCGAAAGCUAGGGGAGCAAACAGG